rnacentral:rRNA from 1 species
CUUAAAUGAAUUGACGGGACCGCACAAGCGGUGGAUGAUGUGGUUUAAUUCGAUGCAACGCGAAAACCUUACCCACCUUUGACAUGUACGGAACCCUUUAGAGAUAGAGGGGUGCUCGAAAGAGAGCCGUAACACAGGUGCUGCAUGGCUGUCGUCAGCUCGUGUCGUGAGAUGUUGGGUUAAGUCCCGCAACGAGCGCAACCCUUGUCAUUAGUUGCUACAUUCAGUUGGGCACUCUAAUGAGACUGCCGGUGACAAGCCGGAGGAAGGUGGGGAUGACGUCAAGUCCUCAUGGCCCUUAUAGGUGGGGCUACACACGUCAUACAAUGGCUGGUACAAAGGGUUGCCAACCCGCGAGGGGGAGCCAAUCCCAUAAAGCCAGUCGUAGUCCGGAUCGUAGUCUGCAACUCGACUACGUGAAGUCGGAAUCGCUAGUAAUCGUGGAUCAGAAUGUCACGGUGAAUACGUUCCCGGGUCUU